CCUCUCAGUGGCUCCCGGAGGACCCGGCGGGCCCGGUGUUGGAGAGCUGAAGGUCAGGCCAGGACAGUGAGACCUGACUCCUUGCUCCUACCAGCCUACUAUGGCUUAAGACCCAGGGCCAGGGUCCCGUUGAUGUAACAGAGCAGAGGACCAGCAGAUGAAUGGACACCUUGAAACAGAGGAGCAGCAGGACCAGAGGCCAGACCAGGAGCUGACCGGGAGCUGGGGCCACGGGCCUAGGAGCACCCUGGUCAGGGCUAAGGCCAUGGCCCCGCCCCCACCGCCACUGGCUGCCAGCACCCCGCUCCUCCAUGGCGAGUUUGGCUCCUACCCAGCCCAAGGCCCACGCUUUGCCCUCACCCUUACAUCGCAGGCCCUGCACAUACAGCGGCUGCGCCCCAAACCUGAAGCCAGGCCCCGGGGUGGCCUGGUCCCGUUGGCCGAGGUCUCAGGCUGCUGCACCCUGCGAAGCCGCAGCCCCUCAGACUCAGCGGCCUACUUCUGCAUCUACACCUACCCUCGGGGCCGGCGCGGGGCCCGGCGCAGAGCCACUCGCACCUUCCGGGCAGAUGGGGCCGCCACCUACGAAGAGAACCGUGCCGAGGCCCAGCGCUGGGCCACUGCCCUCACCUGUCUGCUCCGAGGACUGCCACUGCCCGGGGAUGGGGGUGAGGUGCUGGGCAGCU
rnacentral:lncRNA from 1 species